rnacentral:snRNA from 1 species
UUGCUUCAGCAUCACGUAUACUAAAACUGGAACUCCACAAAGAAGAUUACCAUGGCCCCUGUGCAGAGAUAACAUAUAAUUUUGUGAAGCAUUCCAUAUUUUU